GGGUGAUUAGCUCAGCUGGGAGAGCAUCUGCCUUACAAGCAGAGGGUCGGCGGUUCGAUCCCGUCAUCACCCC
rnacentral:tRNA from 1 species